GGAAGGAGCAAAGGAGGGAGCGCGGGAGGCAUGGGGGAGGGGAGGAGGAAAGGAAGAUUUCCUUCAGAUCUCUCUCUAGGAUAGAAUCAUGCAAUGGAGCCUGGGAAACAAGUAUCUGACAUUUCCAAAUAACCACCAUUGGGUAGUUAGUGGUGGGCAACCAAUAAUGUCUUCCUUAGAGGUACCCCAACGCUUUACCAAGAGAAGGAACGAUGUCGAUGGGCAGAGCAGGAGAGAAAAGUCAGAUGGGUGGCCCACUCCUGGUUUUCUGAAAACCCACAGGAAUUCUCAUGGCUCAUGGUUUGCCAGCAGUUACCAUGGUUACGGGGGUGGUGGGCAACAAGAAUCCAUUCCAGAGUGGGGCAAGGAGGACGGAGGGAUGCCAGCCACCUGCCAGCAGACUCAUGGAAACUCUCUCACGAUGGCGAGAGGGGUCUUGGGCCAGGACAACGACAGACUUUUAGAUCCUCCUAAGCCAGCCUUGCUUUUCACACUGAAACCCAAAAGAGAACGUCACAUGUCCUUUCCGACUGGCCAGGAUGCAAAGUCACCCUGUUUUCUGCCUUAGAAAAGUUGUCAAACCUCACAAGCUCGUGAUCUGACCAUUGCCUACCUUGCCUCUUCGUGUCUGCGUGAAGGUCAAAAUGACACCAUUGGUACAAAAUGCUUAGUACUGGACCGAACGUAUAGUUGAUGCUCCAGAUAUUGGCAGCAGUCUCCUCUUCGUCCCAACAGAUGGGGAAAUGGAGCUAAAAAAAAAAAAAAAAAAAAAAAACAAAAAAAACAUGGCACACCCAAGCAGGAACCCCACGCUUUGCUGCUUUCUGAAAAGAUAAAACAACACAACUUACGUUGAUCACGUCUACACAUUGUACUGAGCGGACUGUCAUUGGUCACUAUAAAUUGCCACCCUGCUACCUGGAAGACCUCUUGAAAUAGAUUUUUCUAAGCCACCUGAAGACCUUGGUUAAGCAAACAUAACUACCGGGGUGCCUGGGUGGCUCUGUCGGUUAAGCGUCCAAAUCUUGAUUUCAGCUCACGUCAUGAUCGCAUGGUUCAUGGGUUCAAGCCC